GCUCAACUAGCCCAGUAAAGAAUAUUAUGACUAAGAUAAUAUACAACAAAUUAUCGUUAGUCUUCAACAGGAAAAAAUCUAAUAGAAUACAAUAGACAACAAGUUUUAGAUCAACAAAUGCAGCGGAAACAGCAAUCCAUUAGAAGAGUCACGUAGAGAAAGAAUUCUACUGUCUUCUAAGGUUUAAAAGUCCAUCAUC
rnacentral:lncRNA from 1 species